UCACUCAGCACCUGUCUACACCUGCGUCUUCCCUGUUCUUCGUGAACCCAUAGCCUCCUCACUUGGGCUCAGCCACCCCAGUGAGAUCACGCCUCUCGCGGCCGCCCUCGGCCUCCCCACGACCACUUCGGCGUGCUCCCCUUCCCGUUGUGAAACCUCCUCCCCACGGGACUCACCUCUCGCCUCCCCUCCUGGCUCUGCCGUCCCGGAGGUCCCAUCCCUGCAGCGUGGCUGGUUCGCGCUGGUCUCCCCCAGGGCCCAGGGGUGGGCGUGUGCACGUUCCGACGCGUGACGACGACCGCCUGCGGCCCCCACGCCCCUUCCGCACGGCUCCCAUCUGCGCGCGCUGACCAGAAACCCGGAGCUCCCGCCUUUGGUGCCGGCGGGACGUUCGGGGCCCGGGCCCCUGCCCGCGGGGAGCCCCCACCUCGGGCCGUGCCGGCCACGACGGCACCCGCAGCCCGCCUCCUGCUCUCUCAGCUCAUUUCCGGCCGGCCUGGGAGGCCUGCCCGUUCUCCCGGAGACCUCGAUUAUGUCAGCGGAGGGGCCAGGAGAUGCCAUCCGGUCCUGACCUCCUCAGGUGUGGCCCCACCGUCCGUCGGUCCCAGGUGUGCUGUCGGGAAUGAGAAAGAAACUCAUCACAGCUGUUGCAUUGACACAAAGCAAUUAGGUGCGGGCUCCCUGGGGCCCAGGAGAGAGGACAGAGACACAGCCUCCUGCUGGACUGUCACACGAAGGCGUCCGUGCACCACAUCCCAGAUGUCACAUCAGUCGGUGACGACUGCCCAUUACAUCGCUUCUUGGAGGACGCUGCUCGGAAUUUCGUUUUACCUUGUUGGCUGCAGAUAAUAUUCCUUUGAAUCGUGUUUUGAAAUGUGAUCCUUUCAUUUGCAAAGCCUCGCAGAAAUGAUAAAGAAAAAUAAAUGAAUGAA